GACGAACGCUGGCGGCGUGCCUAAUACAUGCAAGUUGAGCGCUGAAGGUUGGUACUUGUACCAACUGGAUGAGCAGCGAACGGGUGAGUAACGCGUGGGGAAUCUGCCUUUGAGCGGGGGACAACAUUUGGAAACGAAUGCUAAUACCGCAUAAAAACUUUAAACACAAGUUUUAAGUUUGCAAGAUGCAAUUGCAUCACUCAAAGAUGAUCCCGCGUUGUAUUAGCUAGUUGGUUAGGUAAAGGCUCACCAAGGCGAUGAUACAUAGCCGACCUGAGAGGGUGAUCGGCCACAUUGGGACUGAGACACGGCCCAAACGCCUACGGGAGGCAGCAGUAGGGAAUCUUCGGCAAUGGACGAAAGUCUGACCGAGCAACGCCGCGUGAGUGAAGAAGGUUUUCGGAUCGUAAAACUCUGUUGGUAGAGAAGAACGUUGGUGAGAGUGGAAAGCUCAUCAAGUGACGGUAACUACCCAGAAAGGGACGGCUAACUACGUG
rnacentral:rRNA from 1 species